rnacentral:rRNA from 1 species
GCGGAAUAUUGGACAAUGGGUUAGCGCCUGAUCCAGCCAUCCCGCGUGAAGGACGACGGCCCUAUGGGUUGUAAACUUCUUUUGUACAGGGAUAAACCUACUCUCGUGAGGGUAGCUGAAGGUACUGUACGAAUAAGCACCGGCUAACUCCGUGCCAGCAGCCGCGGUAAUACGGAGGGUGCGAGCGUUAUCCGGAUUUAUUGGGUUUAAAGGGCCCGUAGGCGGACUCGUAAGUCAGUGGUGAAAUCUCACAGCUUAACUGUGAAACUGCCGUUGAUACUGCGGGUCUUGAGUAAGGUAGAAGUGGCUGGAAUAAGUAGUGUAGCGGUGAAAUGCAUAGAUAUUACUUAGAACACCAAUUGCGAAGGCAGGUCACUAUGUCUUAACUGACGCUGAGGGACGAAAGCGUGGGGAGCGAAC